CUUGAACGCUGGCGGCAGGCCUAACACAUGCAAGUCGAGCGGAGCGGCUGACGGGUGAUUAAUGCCUAGGAAUCUGCCUGGUAGUGGGGGACAACGUCCGGAAACGGGCGCUAAUCCCGCAUACUAUCAGAUUAGCCUAGGUCGUAUUGGAUAGUUGGUGGGGUAUAGCCCUACAAGGGCGACGAUCCGUAACUGGUCUGAGAGGAUGAUCAGUCACACUGGGACGGAGACACGGUCCAGGCUCAUACGGGAGGCAGCAGUGGGGAAUAUGCGGCGAUGGGCGAAAGCAUGAUCCAGCCAUGCCGCGUGUGUGAAGAAGGUCUUCGGAUUGUAAAGCACUGUAAGUAGGGACGCGGUACCAACGGAAUAAGCCCCGGCUAACUUCGUGCCAGCAGCCGCGGUAAUAC
rnacentral:rRNA from 1 species